rnacentral:rRNA from 1 species
UUGUAUAAUGGGUCAGCGACUUAUAUUCUGUAGCAAGGUUAACCGUAUAGGGGAGCCGCAGGGAAACCGAGUCUUAACUGGGCGUUAAGUUGCAGGGUAUAGACCCGAAACCCGGUGAUCUAGCCAUGGGCAGGUUGAAGGUUGGGUAACACUAACUGGAGGACCGAACCGACUAAUGUUGAAAAAUUAGCGGAUGACUUGUGGCUGGGGGUGAAAGGCCAAUCAAACCGGGAGAUAGCUGGUUCUCCCCGAAAGCUAUUUAGGUAGCGCCUCGUGAAUUCAUCUUCGGGGGUAGAGCACUGUUUCGGCUAGGGGGUCAUCCCGACUUACCAACCCGAUGCAAACUACGAAUACCGAAGAAUGUUAUCACGGGAGACACACGGCGGGUGCUAACGUCCGUCGUGAAGAGGGAAACAACCCAGACCGCCAGCUAAGGUCCCAAAGUCACAGUUAAGUGGGAAACGAUGUGGGAAGGCACAGACAGCCAGGAUGUUGGCUUAGAAGCAGCCAUCAUUUAAAGAAAGCGUAAUAGCUCACUGGUCGAGUCGGCCUGCGCGGAAGAUGUAACGGGGCUAAACUGUGCACCGAAGCUGCGGCAGCGACACUAUGUGUUGUUGGGUAGGGGAGCGUUCUGUAAGCCUGCGAAGGUGGCCUGUGAGGGUUGCUGGAGGUAUCAGAAGUGCGAAUGCUGACAUAAGUAACGAUAAUGCGGGUGAAAAGCCCGCACGCCGGAAGACCAAGGGUUCCUGUCCAACGUUAAUCGGGGCAGGGUGAGUCGACCCCUAAGGCGAGGCCGAAAGGCGUAGUCGAUGGGAAACAGGUUAAUAUUCCUGUACUUGGUGUUACUGCGAAGGGGGGACGGAGAAGGCUAUGUUAGCCGGGCGACGGUUGUCCCGGUUUAAGCAUGUAGGCGGAGGUUCCAGGUAAAUCCGGUACCUUUUUAACGCUGAGGUGUGAUGACGAGGCACUACGGUGCUGAAGUAACAAAUGCCCUGCUUCCAGGAAAAGCCUCUAAGCAUCAGGUAACAUU